ensembl:lncRNA
CUCUCUCUCUCUCUCUCUCUCUGAACGAGGGUUAUAAGUAAGGUGACUGAUUCCUGGUCACAACUAGUUAGCUUUCUGAUCUUCACUUUUAGGGUCACUUGUCAAUGACGAGCCGCAGCAGUUCCGCUAAGCAUCCGCAAAGCACACGGUGGGCAAGAGCUGAUGCCUGUGCUUAAUCCAGUUGCCCAGCUUUGGAGCUGUUGACAACCGAUAACUCUUCGCGUGUUUAUCUGGCCAUUGAUGUGUGACAUUAUGCAGAGGUGGCGGGGCCAAGAAAAUAGUAAAAACAGGAAACUUAGAGGAGGCAACAUGACACACAUCGGGUUUCCUCGGAAACCAUGCUUUCUGGCUUACGCUUAAUGUCACACGCUACAACUGCUAGCUAGCUGGGUGGGAGGGUGGUUAAAGUAACCUUUUAUUAUACUAGUUAGUCGCAUCUAAUGAACCAUACCACCUUCUGAAUCACACUUACAUCAAAUACCGCUUACGUUCACCACGGAACUGAUAGAGUUGGAAUGGUCAUCCAACGUUACUCGAGUUAGCUGCUUAAAUUAUUCACUAUUAAACGUUAGCUAGCUAGCUGGCUAGCGACAUACCAACCAUGCCGCCAACAAGCAGGCGUCUUGGUGUCACAUCAGCAUCUUUCCAUAGAUGUGGGUAAUCUAACCGGCUAACUUAAAUAGGUCAUGUUACGAUUUUCAUCGCUAUAGAUAUUUAUAAAACAACUCCUGCAAAUUACCUCAAUACUUUGAUGCUCCAUUUCAGGUAACCUACAAACAGUCAGAAUUCCUACAACUUAGCAACCGAAGGCAUCAUUAAGUAACAACGUGGCUAUCCUUAGCUAAAAUUAACAAAGUAUCGUCAAGUAAUGUCAACACCAAACCUGCUGUGAUGUAAUUGACCACUUAUGCGACAUUAAAAAGAGAUUAUUCGAUAAUACACACAUCCAGCGUUUCGCCAGCCGACAACCUUACCUUACUGGCCACAGAACAAGAACAUCUUCCUCAGUGAAUUUCGCUGAUUGUAAGAUGACGUUAAGUUUCUCACUCGGCUAUGAACUCUAGCUAGAGUCUUUACACAUGCGGCGUGGCUGACGACAUCCUUCACAAUCUUACUCGUCUGUAGGAGGAGAUCCCUGACGUCGCACCGCUCAAAACGACACGCUAAAUUUCAUUUAACAAGGAAAUGACUUGGUUCAUCUACGGUCGUCUCUCUGGUCUAAACAUGGUCUAUUAUAUUGUAUAAUAUCUAUUAUGUAGUAUCUCACAUCGUCUCCUAGAGGAGCGCACUUUGUCAACAGACCCCUAGAGACUGCAUUAAGACAAAUUAAAUUAAAUGAAGGUUAGUGACUGAGCCACGUAGAUCAUGAGACAGAACCAUCUCACCUCUUUAAUCAAAGCAGCAAAGGCGUCGCUUUACCGGGGCAGGUAUUUCUGAAAAAUAUAUCUAUCCAUAGGAAUAACCGCAGAGUGAGCUGCCAAGGCAAUCAACGUCUCUGUGCUGGGUGGAUAAUGGCUUUUAAAAAGCAAAAACCCAUCUGAAGUGUCUAAGCCCAUGCCUUACUUGUAGGAUUUUUAAUAAAGGGUUUCUAUGCUUAAGCAGAACCGGUUUACUCUGAUGUUAUUGACAGUAGAAGCCUCACCGUCCCAUACACUACAGCUGUGGUGGCAGUGCGUCGCCCCAAUCGCGCUUAUAUGGACAAGCC